rnacentral:rRNA from 1 species
AAUGAACGCUGGCGGCAGGCCUAACACAUGCAAGUCGAACGGAUCCUUCGGGAUUAGUGGCGGACGGGUGAGUAACGCGUGGGAACAUACCCAAAGGUACGGAAUAGCCUCGGGAAACUGGGAGUAAUACCGUAUGUGCUCGAAAGAGGAAAGAUUUAUCGCCUUUGGAUUGGCCCGCGUUGGAUUAGGUAGUUGGUGGGGUAAUGGCCUACCAAGCCGACGAUCCAUAGCUGGUUUAAGAGGAUGAUCAGCCACACUGGGACUGAGACACGGCCCAGACUCCUACGGGAGGAAGCAGUGGGGAAUCUUAGACAAUGGGGGAAACCCUGAUCUAACCAUGCCGCGUGAUCGAUGAAGGCCUUAGGGUUGUAAAGAUCUUUCAGGUGGGAAGAUAAUGACUGUACCACCAGAAGAAGCCCCGGCUAACUCCGUGCCAGCCGCCGCAGUAA